GUCAUGCCGAUUAUAAGAUACACAAUUUUCUCUGCUUUCAAAUCUUUCUGUUUGAACCCGUUGAACUGGAACUUAUGGCAAUUAUUGGUAAUAGUAAUUAUUUGGAAAACAAAAGGUCCUGGAAUGGAGUAUUUUUUAAUCAACAGCAUUGUCCUAUAUUAGUUAUAAAUAAAGUUGAAUUCUUUGAUUCGCUGUUUUACGUCAUGCCCGC
rnacentral:lncRNA from 1 species